rnacentral:tRNA from 1 species
GGUCCUGUAGCUCAGAGGAGAGAGCACUCGGUUGCGGACCGAGAGGCCGCAGGUUCGACUCCUGCCAGGACCAC